ACCUAUUGGUCUGACUUACCACCAAAACAGGUCAGUCCAUUUUGUGAGCUUCCACCGUGUUGGCAAUCAGGGAUGGCAUUACUAUGACGGGAUGAGAGAGACAUCCAAACCAGUUUCUGGAGUUGUUAAAGUCAAUGAUGCAGAAGUGAGGAGACUCAUGUUACAAAGCUGGAUUGCAAGACACUUGGUUCAUGUAACACUAAGCAUCGUCUAGACCUUCCUUUGUGCCCUCCACACACACAUACCAAAUAAAAAAAAAAAAAGUUAAAACACUCUCUCAUUGUGACAUACUGCUUCACAUGAUUCACAGAAACAAAAAUAAAAGUGAUGGUGUGAUUGUCACAUGGAAGUCUGAAGAUGAGUGUACAGCGACUCUAAGAGGAGUGUGAAGGUGUUCCUGUUUGUGGGGUAAACAAUUAUUUGGGAUGAUGUUGAGGAGGCGUGCAGGAAAAUGUGGCGAGAUCAGCAUCCUGAACCAGGAGGACAAGACAGCCUUUACUGCAGAGACAGAACCUGUGUGAAUCAGUAGAUAUGGACAUAUGGGGCAUCAUUGGAAACGCUAUGAUCUGUAGUAUGUGAAUCAGGUGUGAAAUUCAACGGACAACCAUAUUUGGCCAUUUGGGGGCAGUGCAAAUCAACAUCUGUUGCAAUAUAAUUGUCAAAAUGUCAAAUUUUGAGCUUGAUUUUCUCCAUAAUUCCACAGUAGAUAUGGACAUAUGG